UCCGAGUUGACCCCGGCGGUCUCCCAUGAGUCCCCAUCAUAACAUGCUGGCAACUAAAGAUAGGGGUUGCGCUCGUUGCGGGACUUAACCCAACACCUCACGACACGAGCUGACGACAGCCAUGCAGCACCUGUGUUCAGGUUCCCUUUCGGGCACCGCUGCAUUUCUGCAGCGUUCCUGACAUGUCAAGGGUAGGUAAGGUUUUUCGCGUUGCAUCGAAUUAAUCCACAUCAUCCACCGCUUGUGCGGGUCCCCGUCAAUUCCUUUGAGUUUUAAUCUUGCGACCGUACUCCCCAGGCGGUCUACUUCACGCGUUAGCUGCGUUACCAAGUUAAUUAAAACCCGACAACUAGUAGACAUCGUUUAGGGCGUGGACUAC
rnacentral:misc_RNA from 1 species